rnacentral:tRNA from 1 species
AGACAAAUUUUAAUUUCUAUGAUUGUGUUUUGAAAACACUUAGUAAGGUAACUUUAGUAUUAA